rnacentral:rRNA from 1 species
AGAGUUUGAUCCUGGCUCAGAAUCAACGCUGGCGGCGUGCCUAACACAUGCAAGUCGAACGAGAAAGCGGGGGCAACUCCGCGAGUAAAGUGGCGUACGGGUGAGUAACACGUGGGUAAUCUACCUUUUAGUGGGGAAUAACGCUGGGAAACCGGCGCUAAUACCGCAUAAUCUCGAGAGAGGAAAGCAGCAAUGCGCUGAAAGAGGAGCCCGCGGCCGAUUAGCUGGUUGGGAGGGUAAAAGCCUACCAAGGCAAAGAUCGGUAGCCGGCCUGAGAGGGCACACGGCCACACUGGCACUGAAACACGGGCCAGACUCCUACGGGAGGCAGCAGUGGGGAAUCUUGCACAAUGGGGGAAACCCUGAUGCAGCGACGCCGCGUGAGCGAUGAAGCCCUUCGGGGUGUAAAGCUCUUUCGGCAGGGACGAUAGUGACGGUACCUGCAGAAGCAGCUGCGGCUAACUACGU